rnacentral:rRNA from 1 species
UACAGAGGUCUCAAGCGUUGUUCGGAUUCAUUGGGCGUAAAGGGUGCGUAGGCGGCGCGGUAAGUCGGGUGUGAAAUUUCGAGGCUUAACUUCGAAACUGCAUUCGAUACUGCCGUGCUUGAGGACUGGAGAGGAGACGUGGAAUUUACGGUGUAGCGGUGAAAUGCGCAGAUAUCAGGAGGAACACCCGUGGCGAAAGCGGCUCUCUGGGACGGUACUGACGCUGAGACGCGAAAGCGUGGGGAGCAAACAGG